rnacentral:rRNA from 1 species
ACUCCUACGGGAGGCAGCAGUGGGGAAUAUUGGACAAUGGGCGAAAGCCUGAUCCAGUCAUGCCGCGUGUGUGAAGAAGGUCUUCGGAUUGUAAAGCACUUUAAGUUGGGUAGGAAGGGCAGUAAGCUAAUACCUUGCUGUUUUGACGUUACCGACAGAAUAAGCACCGGCUAACUCUGUGCCAGCAGCCGCGGUAAUACAGAGGGGUGCAAGCGUUAAUCGGAAUUACUGGGCGUAAAGCGCGCGUAGGUGGUUUUGUUAAGUUGGAUGUGAAAGCCCCGGGGCUCAACCUGGGGAACUGCAUCCAAAACUGGCAAGCUAGAGUACGGUAGAGGGUGGUGGAAUUUCCUGUGUAGCGGUGAAAUGCGUAGAUAUAGGAAGGAACACCAGUGGCGAAGGCGACCACCUGGACUGAUACUGACACUGAGGUGCGAAAGCGUGGGGAGCAAACAGGAUUAGAUACCCU